rnacentral:tRNA from 1 species
GGCAGCUUGGCCGAGUGGUUAAGGCGACAGACUAGAAAUCUGUUGGGUUCGCCCUCGCAGGUUCGAAUCCUGCAGCUGUCG